CAGCUGUUCACGGUUCUGUUUCUGCUGUAAUAUCACUUCUCAAGGAUCCUCUCCACUCUGGCCUGGAGUUGCAACCUUGGUGGUGGCUUCGUCUCUUCUCACUAUGGAUCUGCGGCUAUGUUGACCAACGGCUACUGAAAAUAUCAAUUGCAACCUUGGUGGUGGCUUCGUCUCUUCUCACUAUGGAUCUG